AUUUAGGUAGCUUAUAUGUAGAGCAUAACAUUGAAGAUGUUGGGGAAGUCGUUUGAUUCUUAAGUA
rnacentral:tRNA from 2 species